rnacentral:lncRNA from 1 species
AUUAAUGAAAUAUGAAUUUACGUGGAUUAGUAAAAUUUUGAAGUUUGGGCGGCAAAUAUAAAAUUUUGAAAAUCUAGGUGGCUAUUUGCGAAUAGACGAAAGUUUAGAUCACUCUGGUGCAUUUAAUCCUUUAUAGUAAGAUAUAAUUAAGUUGGUUAUUUGCAUAGUAAUAUAUAAUUAAGUUGGUUAUUUAUAUAGUAAGAAUGUAAGAUAUAAUUAAGUUGGUUAUUUGUAUAAUAAUAUAUUUUUUAAGAUAAUAGGCAUGCAAAUCUAGU